rnacentral:lncRNA from 1 species
AAAUGGUAAGACUGGCAGUAAAAUUACAUGCAACACCAAUAAAGAUGUUGCUGAUAAUCCAGCAGUUGAGGAUGAAGAACCAGAAGUUGAGGAGAAACCUGAAGAACCAACAGUUGAAGAAAAACCUGAGGAACCAGCAAUGGAAGGAAAACUUGAGAAACUGGCAGUUGAAGAUAAACUUGAGGAACGAGCAGUUGAACAGAACCCUGAGGAAACAGCAGUUGAACCUGAAGAACCAACAGUUGAAGAAAAACCUGAAGAACCAGCAAUGGAAGGAAAACUUGAGAAACUGGCAGUUGAAGAUAAACUUGAGGAACGAGCAGUUGAAAAGAACACUGAGGAAACACCAGUUGAAGAAAAACUUGAGGAACCAGUAGUUGACAAAAAAGCUGAAGAACUAGCGGUUGAAGAGAAACUUGAAGAACCAUUAGUUAAAGAAAAGCCGGAAGAACAAAGCAGGGAAGUAACUGAAGCUCCCAUAAAAGAGGCAAAGCUUAACCAGAAUGCAAAUGAAGCAAGCAGCAGUCUGCCAACAGCUAUUCUAAGCCAUCCGCCUGCUCAAGGGACAACAAUGACCAACCCAAUAUUGGGAGAACCAAUUAGUAUUGACAAACCUAAAAACGUGCAACAGCUAGAUUCUCAAGAAAUAUCAGAAAUUGAUGAGGCAAUGCAGAGAGAUGAAGAUAACAUAAAGCAGAAGGAUGAGGCUUCUUUCACUGAAGAGCAGAAGUUUACACCACAGAGUGAGUAAUACUAGUUCACAGACAUGCUUUCCCUAUCCAAUUGAUUUUAUUUGCAAUGGAAAAUGGUGAUACUCUUUAGAGAACAGAUCCAAGAGAUUUAACCAUAGUAUCACUCGCAAAAAGUAGAAAAAACAAUUAUAAAAAUGGAACCAAUCUCUAAAAGGAAGCUGAAAUGGAGAGAAGCACCAGAGACAAGCGCCUUUCUGGUUUGGAGAAACCUUGAAAAAAUAGAAUGCACAUCCACAGUAUUUAGCAAUAAUGAUCAUCUAUCAUUACAUACAUGAACAUAAUUAAUUUAUUACUACAUGGAUAUAAUAAAGAAAUCCUAUGAUAUGCUGUUGCUAAGAUAUUAGGACUAGCAGCAUUCAUUAAGUCGUAAAUUGCUAUAUGAAUGUAACAAGCACCUUUUUGGGGGUUCAAAGAUUUCUAGUCACUUCAAUAAUGACUAGAUGUGGUAUUAACAUCUACUACCGACAUAUUGCAGGUGAUGAAAAUCAAAAUACUUCGACAGGGGAUAGUUUCUUAAAUAAGAACAUGUUCGCUGAAGGUGAAGCUGUGCACAUUAAUAGUCAAGAGGAUCUAAUCAGGCAAGAAAUUUCAGGAAGCACAAAAUCUGAGAUAAAUCCAAAUUCAAGUAAAGGAACAGAAAGUGAGGCAAGUGAUAUUGCUAAUAGAGAAGGAUCAAGCAGACUUGGUUAAGCAAAUAAUUUAGUUGCUCUUCAUCCUUAUUGUUCUAAACUUGAUGAGCUACUUGGUUAUGCAGGUAAACGAGCAUCCAGAAGGACCAGAAGUACCAAAACAAAGUGAUGAAAGGGGGAAAUGUAUAGUACAGAAGCAAGAAGAUUCUGUUCGCAACCAGGAAGAACUGUUUGUUGAAGAAAAAAUGAGAUCUUGUGAAGAGGUUGAAACAGAGGUAUUAAAUGAUCUGGCUUCUAUUAAUACUCUGAUCUUUCCUGUCCAUAGACUAAUGAUAGCCAAAACUAUAACUUCAAACAGAUAAGCAAACUUAAAGAUAUAAAUGCUGGUGAUGGAACAAAUAAAAACAUUAUGGAAAAAGAAGAAAAGACCCUGGACAAAAUUCUGACGUCCACCAAAGAAGAAAUUGGUACCAAGAACUCUGAAGAAGGCCAAGUGCUUUCAGAGAUUCCCAGUCAAGAGGUUAAGUGACCAUAGAAGCCUGUUCUUUAUUCAUAUAUGUAACUCGCAGAUAUAAAGAUGCGUCCUCUCUUUCUACUAAAAUCACUUAAAUACCCUCUUUUUCAAAUCUGCAGAACUUUCAACAAGCUAAUUUAAUCAGAGAUGAAGCUUUAUUGAAAGAUGAGCGUGGAAUCGAGAACUUCAUGGUAGUUUCUUCAGAAGAAAUUAGCUGUGAAGGCUCUAUUGAAAAGGUAAACGAAAUGAGAACCUGAGAAUGAAUCAGCCAAUUAACAUCAAGGCAUUCAUAUGGCAACCAUUCACUGAGGGUCUUAAGUUUAUUGCAUGCAUAUGAAUUCUCGUGCCACCUUGUCUUUCUGGAAGAAACAUUGAAAUUCAAGUCUGAAAGUAUUCGAAGUAUACAGUUCUUAGUAACUACUAACUACUAUAAAUUUAAAGUUCUCCGUACAAAACAAAAUAAGUCUUCACUUCCUUUCCCAGAGUUUUUGUUUAUUUUGUAGUUAUUGCAUAAAAUGGGAAGCAAUGCAUGAUAAGAUGAUAUAUACAAGAAAUAGAAAAUUAAUUCUCUGCUGAUAGAGUAUAUUCCAUUGCACAAAUGUAGACCAUCUUUGAUCUUUUAUUUGUUUAUUUAUUUAUUUUGUUCGAGGCUGUAACAAGUGAGACAUCCUAGUAUCAUUGGGAUUCUUAUGUGCGACUUUUGAAAAAUAAGCCGAAACAAAAAUUAGCCAAAUGCUGACAAAUGGGUAUGACUUAUUUUUCUGAAAAAGAACUGACCAUUGACAUUGCAAAUCGAGUAUUCCUUUGAGUCUUUGAAACAAUAAGUUGCAAGGGAAGGUUUAAGCAAAUUUCAAAUAUUGCAGCUAGAUGCCUUCAUGCAUUUAUUCUAAUCAUUUUAUUGGUUUUCUUCGGCAGACUCUUUAACAUUGACAAAAAGAAAGAGAUUCUUCUUGGAGAAUUAUCAGUUAAUAAAGGAAGAGGCAGUGGAAACUCUUUCUGGGAGAAAUUCCAAAAUAUGACCUUAAGAGAAUUCACAUGACGUUAAGCUAGAAACCAAGGACUUAAACCACUAGGCCACGGUAACUGUAUUUCAGUUAUAAACAGGAAUCUUGCUAAAAUUAUAAGUCCCAAACCUCAUCAUGUAGAUAUCUGUUAACUUGAUAUAGUGCUCGGCAGUUGACAAUUACUAAAACCACCUGGAGAUUAAGAUAUGAACACCUUCUUCUCUCGUUAGAAUGAUUCUUAAAUGCAUAACUCCUUGUCCUUUUCUCACCAGUGUAUGAAACAUACUAAACAAUGGUAGCACUCAAAAUAUUCUGAGCAAUCACGAUCAUUGUUGCAGAACAGUUGAGCAUGUGUAGUAAUCCUAUGCGAGAUGAAACCAAAAGAAUUUCACCAUCCUAUUAGUUCCGUAUGUGUAAGGAAUUCACAUCUACUUAGCUAUUGAAAGACUAAGUGAAACUUUAAAUUCUUCUUGUAGAAUAUGCCAGUUGUAGACUCGAAUGACAAGACUGACGGUGAAAUUUCAUGCGAUACCAACAAUGAUGUUGCUGACCAUCCGGCAGUUGCAGAAAAACUCGAUGAUUCAGCAGUUGAAGAGAAACCCAAGGAAUGGAUCGUUGAAGAGAAACUGGAAGAAACAGCCAUUGAGGAGAAACUCGAAGAACCAGCAGUUGAGGAGAAACCUAACAAACCAGCGGUUAAAGAGACACCUGAAGAACCUGCAGUGAAAGAAACACCUGAACAACCAACGGUUGAAGAGAAACCUCAAGAACCAGCAAUUCAAGAGAAACCUCAAGAACCAACAGUUGAAAAGAAACCUGAAGAACCAACAAUUGAUGAAGAACUUGAAGAGCCAACAGUUGCGGAGAAACCUGAAGAACCAGCAGUUAAAGAAAACCAUGUAGAACCAGAAGUUGAUGAAAAACGUGAAGAACCACAAGUUGAAGAAAAACAUGAGGAACCAGCAGUUGAAGAAAAACCUAAAGAACCAAAAGUUGAGGAGAAACCGGAAGAACCAGCGGUUGAGGAGAAACCCGAAGAACCAGCAGUGAAAGAAACACCUGAAGAACCAGCGGUGAAAGAGACACCUGAGGAACUAGCAGUUGAAGAGAAACCUGAAGAACCAGUAGCUGACAAAAAACUUGAGGAACCAACAGUUGAGCAGAAACCUGAAGAACCAGCUGUUGAUGAAAAAGGUGAAGAACCGUCAGUUGAAGAAAUACCUGAGGAAUCGGCAGUUGAAAAUUUUGAAGAAGCAGCAGUAGAAGAGAAACCUGAAGAACCAACAGUUAAGGAAAAAACUGAAGAAGCACCCACUGAAGAAAAACCCGACGACCAAGCAGUUGAAGAGAAACCUAAAGAACCACCAGUUGGAGAAGAACCCAAAGAACAAAAUAGGGAAG